AUAACAGAUGACCCUUGGCGGAAUCCCCGAUUACUGCGCUGCGUACCGAAGCAAUGGGUCUUAGACCGCGGAUCACUAUAUUAUAGGAAUGAAUUUAGUGAGCAGUCAGUAACUCUUUACACUCUUGGUCGUUGUUGACCUGUGGCACUCGGAGACGUUCCUUUUUUCUUUUGGACUUGUAAAUAUUAAAAAAUUCUUCAAUUUUUUUGUACGGGGGCCUUUGUAUUUCAUAAUGCUAGCCGCUUCAAAAAACUGAUCCUUGGACUUAUGGUGUACCAGGCCGACACUGCUCGCGGUGAGUUACGGGAACACUUUCAGAACAGAACCGAACAAUUACAGCCCACUUGAUAGCCGAACAGCUAGUCGGAACAACUAAAUGCAAUUGGCCCGGACCUGGACAUUUCGCCGCCGGACGUUUGGCCGCCACAUUUUCGGUAGUGAUAUGCUUUUGAAUGAUAAGAGUGGUUAUACUAUGGUCACGAUUAUAAAGAAUCUUUAUAAUCGUGACUAUAAUGGUAUAACAGCCGUUACACUGUGACCAACUUUAGGUGGUGUUGCAGAGCAAGUCGAGUGAUAUUUUCGAUUUGCGGAGCGGAGCGACGGCGCCGAGGAGCGUAGCGACGAGUGCCGCUAUCGAGGCAUCACUGUAAAUUAUUUCGUAUUGGUGGUGUCGCUGCUGGAUCUCUAUUAUAUUCUGGUACGAGUUGUGGUGGUAUAUUUAACUACGAAACGUCCGGUGGCGAAGUGUCCUAGACCCUAGUUGGCCGGCUUCAGUUCAUGACUUGACAGUGUUCGAUUAUAGAAAUCAAGAGCACAUUAUCAGAAUAUCGAAUUUUGAGAAGUUCCACUUUUAGUCGAUUGAGCCAUGGAGAUCUCUUGCUAACUAUCAUCGGAGCAGAAAUACGUAAGAAAUAAUAAUAAAAAAAAAUAAAUAAAUUGAAAUGUAUCAGAACGAUCAAAAUACAAAAUAGUUCUUGAGAAAAAGUCUGUUCCCUACUCUAUUAUCUAUUGGUAUUCGGAUCUAAAUACCUGGAACGACUGCCUACGAUCAUCACCUAUUACAACAACAGUAUUACAAUAAUAUGUUAACAAAUCUAAUGCCUUUUAAAUUACUUGUUCCUUAUGGAAAUUUGCAUCGACAAAUUUUUACUUUGACAUGUAGUUAUCACAAGGUCUCGGAUUGGACACACCCAUCUUGCACCUUAUAACUAAAGAAGACUGCCUGACCUGUGAACUCUGAGACAAAGAACUGACGAUCAAACGCAUCACACUAGAAUGCUUCAAGUUUAACAUCUCCAGACAAAUCCUCGGAAAUCAUCGAUGAAAGCACUUUGAAGAAGAGAACUCCAAAUAUAUAUGCAAUUUCUUCACAAACAUAGGCUUAGCAAAAUUUAUGUAGUAUAAAAAAAAAUGUUCAUAAUAUACUUCACAUGUCUCCCUAUAAGAUUAAUACUUUAUAAUUUAUCAUAGGCUAAUGAGGCUAAUCUCAGGAGAUGUUGAAUCCUUUUAACCUAAUAAAAAAAAUUCAAUUGUAUCA